UACGACGGGCGCUAGCGUUGUUCGGAAUCACUGGGCGUAAAGCGCACGUAGGCGGACGUGUCAGUCAGGGGUGAAAUCCCGGAGCUCAACUUCGGAACUGCCUUUGAUACAGCACGUCUUGAGUCCGGAAGAGGUGGGUGGAAUUCCUAGUGUAGAGGUGAAAUUCGUAGAUAUUAGGAAGAACACCGGUGGCGAAGGCGGCCCACUGGUCCGGUACUGACGCUGAGGUGCGAAAGCGUGGGGAGCAAACAGG
rnacentral:rRNA from 1 species